UACUGUCCAAAGCGGUGCGGAUCUGGUC
rnacentral:sRNA from 1 species